rnacentral:rRNA from 1 species
UACGUAGGCAGCAAGCGUUGUUCGGAGUUACUGGGCGUAAAGGGUGCGUAGGCGGCUUUUUAAGUUUGGUGUGAAAUCUCCUGCUUAACCGGGAGGGUGCGCCGAAUACUGAGAAGCUAGAGUAUGGGAGAGGAAAGUGGAAUUCCUGGUGUAGCGGUGAAAUGCGUAGAUAUCAGGAGGAACACCUGUGGUGUAGACGGCUUUCUGGACCAUAACUGACGCUGAGGCACGAAAGCGUGGGUAGCAAACAGG